UACAGAGGUCUCAACCGUUGUUCGGAUUCAUUGGGCGUAAAGGGUGCGUAGGCGGUCGUGCAAGUCAGAUGUGAAAUCUCAGGGCUCAACCCUGAAACUGCAUUCGAUACUGCGCGGCUAGAGUUCGGUAGGGGAGACUGGAAUUCCUGGUGUAGCGGUGAAAUGCGCAGAUAUCAGGAGGAACACCGAUGGCGAAGGCAGGUCUCUGGGCCGAUACUGACGCUGAGGAGCGAAAGCGUGGGGAGCGAACAGG
rnacentral:rRNA from 1 species